GUGCCAGCAGCCGCGGUAAUACGUAGGGGGCGAGCGUUGUCCGGAAUUACUGGGCGUAAAGCGCGCGUAGGCGGCUUAGUAAGUCAGACGUGGAAGCCCCGGGCUCAACCUGGGAAUUGCGUCUGAAACUGCUAGGCUAGAGUGCAGAAGGGGAUGUCGGAAUUCCUGGUGUAGCGGUGAAAUGCAUAGAUAUCAGGAAGAACACCGGUGGCGAAGGCGGACAUCUGGGCUGAUACUGACGCUGAGGCGCGAAAGCUAGGGGAGCAAACCGGAUUAGAAACCCCUGUAGUCC
rnacentral:rRNA from 1 species